CAAAGGGCUCACACAGAGGUCACAUCACAUUCGCACCAGCGGGGUAGCCUUGAAAAAAAAUAAUGUUGGGGCUACAACCACGCGGCUCACAGUUUAAAAAAAUAAUUCAACGCACCAAAGCUGGGGGUUUAAUCCAACGUAACAAUAGCGCUUUCCAUCAGGGUCUAGAGCGCCUAGCAUUGACAGAAGGAAAAGCAACCUGAUCGAAACUCUACCAAAAAAUAACAGAAAACAUCUGAAAACACAGUUACCAAUGCCCUCCAGGGAUGAUUGUCAAAGCAUGUCAAGAUGAAAUCUCAAGUCUUCAUUGAGACACAGUGCCUUCGUAUACAUUAGUAUGGUCUUGAAUUUUUAUAAUAUAGUGUGCAGGUUCAAUCUACCAUUAAAAUAUAUAAGUAAACUUGAUAUCAUAACUUAGAAAAAGAAACAGUAUCAAAUUUGAGGGGAUACACGUUUCAUUCAAACCUUUGACAUGGCAGUAUGAGGGACUAAUAUUUUGAUAGAACAACCAAGCAUAUGUGUUGGACAC